CCUACGGGAGGCAGCAGUGAGGAAUAUUUGUCAAUGGUCGGGAGACUGAACCAGCCAAGCCGCGUGAGGGAUGAAGGUACAGAGUAUCGUAAACCUCUUUUUUCAGGGAACACAGGCGGGGACGUGUCCCCGGAUGAGUGUACCUGAAGAAAAAGCAUCGGCUAACUCCGUGCCAGCAGCCUGGGUAAUACGGAGGAUGCGAGCGUUAUCCGGAUUUAUUGGGUUUAACGGGUGCGCAGGCGGUCUGUUAAGUCAGCGGUCAAAGCCCGGGGCUCAACCCCGGCCUGCCGUUGAAACUGGCAGUCGCGAGUUGGAGAGAAGUAUGCGGAAUGCGCGGUGUAGCGGUGAAAUGCAUAGAUAUCGCGCAGAACUCCGAUUGCGAAGGCAGCAUGCCGGCUCCACACUGACGCUGAGGCACGAAAGCGUGGGUAUCGAACAGGAUUAGAUACCCCAGUAGUC
rnacentral:rRNA from 1 species